GUCUCUUCGGAGACAUCCGAUAAAAUUGGAACGAUACAUAGAAAAUUAGCAUGGCCCAUGCGCAAAAAUGUACCACAUACAGAAAAAAAUAUAAUCAGAGUCC